rfam:Triticum aestivum genome assembly, contig: Triticum_aestivum_CS42_TGACv1_scaffold_061257_1DL
CGAAUAACCCUCCGUCCAAAAAUACUUGUCAUCAAGAUGAAUAAAAGAAGAUGUAUCUAGACAUAUUUAGUUCUAGAUACAUCCUUUUUAUCAUUUUGGUGACAAGUAUUUUCGGACCAAGGGAGUAGGAU